AUUGAACGCUGGCGGCAUGCUUUACACAUGCAAGUCGAACGGUAACAGGUUAAGCUGACGCGUGGCGAACGGGUGAGUAAUGCAUCGGAACGUGCCCGAUCGUGGGGGAUAACGCAGCGAAAGCUGCGCUAAUACCGCAUACGAUCUGAGGAUGAAAGCGGGGGACCGUAAGGCCUCGCGCGAUCGGAGCGGCCGAUGUCAGAUUAGGUAGUUGGUGGGGUAAAGGCUCACCAAGCCGACGAUCUGUAGCUGGUCUGAGAGGACGACCAGCCACACUGGGACUGAGACACGGCCCAGACUCCUACGGGAGGCAGCAGUGGGGAAUUUUGGACAAUGGGCGCAAGCCUGAUCCAGCAAUGCCGCGUGCAGGAAGAAGGCCUUCGGGUUGUAAACUGCUUUUGUACGGAGCGAAAAGGCUCUCUCUAAUACAGGGGGCUCAUGACGGUACCGUAAGAAUAAGCACCGGCUAACUACGUG
rnacentral:rRNA from 1 species